GACGGAGGGAGCUAGCGUUGUUCGGAAUUACUGGGCGUAAAGGGCGCGUAGGCGGUUAAUUAAGUUAGGUGUGAAAUCCCCGGGCUCAACCCGGGAACUGCACUUAAUACUGGUUAACUAGAGAUCGGUAGAGGAAAGCGGAAUUCCUAGUGUAGAGGUGAAAUUCGUAGAUAUUAGGAGGAACACCAGAGGCGAAGGCGGCUUUCUGGACCGAUACUGACGCUGAGGCGCGAAAGCGUGGGGAUCAAACAGG
rnacentral:rRNA from 1 species